rnacentral:rRNA from 1 species
AUUGAACGCUGGCGGCAUGCCUUACACAUGCAAAUCGAACGGUAACGGGCCUUCGGGUGCCGCCGAGUGGCGAACGGGUGAGUAAUACAUCGGAACGUGCCCGAUCGUGGGGGAUAACGAGGCGAAAGCUUUGCUAAUACCGCAUACGAUCUACGGAUGAAAGCCGGGGACCGCAAGGCCUUGCGCGGACGGAGCGGCCGAUGGCAGAUUAGGUAGUUGGUGGGAUAAAAGCUUACCAAGCCGACGAUCUGUAGCUGGUCUGAGAGGAUGAUCAGCCACACUGGGACUGAGACACGGCCCAGACUCCUACGGGAGGCAGCAGUGGGGAAUUUUGGACAAUGGGCGCAAGCCUGAUCCAGCCAUGCCGCGUGCAGGAUGAAGGCCUUCGGGUUGUAAACUGAUUUUGUACGGAACGAAAAGCCUUCUUUUAAUACAGGAGGGUCAUGACGGUACCGUAAGAAUAAGCACCGGCUAACUACGUG